UCCGAGAUCGUCUAAAGGCAGGACAGCGGCCUUUGAAGCCGUGAAUCAUGGUUCGAAUCCAUGUCUCGGAACCA
rnacentral:tRNA from 1 species